rnacentral:snoRNA from 1 species
CUGAAAAAAGCCUAUUCAAAGAUUUUUUUUUUUAAAGCAGGGGAACAUUUGCUAUAUUAAGAUCACACGUGUGUCUCCAGACCUAGUUCUUUCUCUAGGUCUGGUUUUAUAAAGACUGGUGGUAAAC